CAGCUUGCUGAUCUGUUUUCUUGCAGGUUCUGGAUGGAUGUUUUAUUUUGUAAUAUUCAUUCAAACAGCCAUUAACACUGGAAUUAGCAUAGGAGCACUUUUGCUUGCUGGAGAAUGCAUCCAGAUCGUGUACUCGAACCUUUCACCCUAUGGGUCGUUGAAGUUGUAUGACAUCAUAGCAAUAGUAACGGGAGUCCAGAUAGUUCUCUCGCAGUUUCCAUCCUUCCACUCCCUCAGGCAUAUCAACCUGGUUUCGCUAUUCCUGAGCUUGGGCUACACUUUCCUUGUAGUUGGUGCUUGCAUUCGUGCUGGUAAAUCC